CAGUAGCCGCGGUAAAACGAAGGGGGCUAGCGUUGCUCGGAAUGACUGGGCGUAAAGGGCGCGUAGGCGGUUCGGAUAGUCAGAUGUGAAAUUCCUAGGCUUAACCUGGGGGCUGCAUUUGAUACUUGGUUGCUUGAGUGGGGAAGAGGGUCGUGGAAUUCCCAGUGUAGAGGUGAAAUUCGUAGAUAUUGGGAAGAACACCGGUGGCGAAGGCGGCAACCUGGUCCAUUACUGACGCUGAGGCGCGAAAGCGUGGGGAGCAAACAGGAUUAGAUACCCGGGUAGUCCCUGUCUCUUAUAC
rnacentral:rRNA from 1 species